AUAACUAUGUAUUGAAUUGAAUGAUAAAUAAAUGUUUUUAAGGAGAAAAAAAAAAGGUUCACCCAGGGUGAGGCUUGGCCAUUGGACUCCGGUUUGUGCUGACCUCUGCGAAUUCCCCAAAUGUGGGAAUCUCGACUGCAUAAUUUAUGGUAGUGGGGGACUGCGUUCGCGCUCUCCCCUG
rnacentral:snRNA from 1 species